UCGACUUUCGCCUUGUGUCAUAAACUGCUCCUGGACACAGAAUUCCAAUUAGCAUAAAACAUAAAGGAAAAACAGAUUUGUGUGUCUGUGUGCAUCCAUAAUAAUCACUGACCACUUAUCACGUCUUCAUUUUGGCAUUGCUGUGUCCUUGAACCUUCUGUUUGCAUGUCUCUGUGUUUGCAUGUGUAGCUGGCAGUGCUGAAGCUGGAAGUUUUGAUCCUGUGGACGGAGGUGGAGAAUCGGAAACCAGAGCAGCAGAGAACAACUCCAGCAGGAAAGGCUCUCCCCCAGGCCCCGCAGCAGUGUGCCCAAGGCAUCCCAGAGUUGAGUAUGCACCGUGCAGAGGUGUGUCAGCUGAGUAGAGGUGUCCAGACUCAACCAGCUCAAAGACGGAUGUCAGACAGGCAGACUGGCAUUUGCAACAAAAAAAAGGAGUUGAUCAAAUGAUACUUUUUAUCUCCACAUACGUAAAAGUGUGUAAGGUAACAUAUGUGUCCUGACUGAGUGUUUGCAUUCUUGUCUUUAGGUGUUGCACCUUUAGGAGGCAGGGGAUCGGCUGCAGGCUGAGGUCCUGUCAGAGGCCGGUGCAGUCAGCAGGAGAUAACAGCUCGAGAGUAGAGGGUUACCACGCUGGAGCGAGACCUGUAGGCUGCUCACAGCCAAACCACUGAAAGGAAGCAGCAGGGCAGAGAAGUGAUGGACUACUGUAGUGGGCAGAGAUGGAUCUGUGGAAAACACAGGAAGCUCUGUAGAGAGGGGCUGUGGAGGCACAGCAGCAAGCAGCUGGAGGUCCACAGCCGGAUGGCAGCGCUCCACUGGUACAACACAGAAGGACCCAGCAUGGCCUCCCCUCAGCUAAGCUGCAGCACUGUACACAAGAGCACAAGGAAGACUAAGACCACUGCAAAGACUCAGUCCAAAGUGGAGGUUUUGUGUUCAGACAGUCGGCUCUCGUGUCCACAAGAUGCUCUCCACUGUCAACCAGUUGGUCCUGGAACGUAAGUAAGGCCUUAAUACACACCACAUUACUGCUGAGGUCUCUCUGCACUUGCACAAUAAUUGGUUUCUAUCCCAACAAUAGCUAAUGCACAUUUUAUCAUAUCCCUAUAUUGCUGCAGGCAAGCAAAUGAAAAACUGGCACUGAAAAUAAAAGAGCAAAAGCACGAGGAUCAUCCAUCUCUGCCAAGAAAGAGAAAGUGGACAGAGGAGAGUUAUAUUUAUGUGCUUUGCUCUCAAAUGCAACAGUGUGUGAAAUACAGUGCACUUUUUUUUGUUCUUGUGUAUGUGUGUUUACAAGUGGGCACACAUGAAUUCACCUGCAGGAGGGUGGGGAAGCUCGGCAAAUUGAGGUCAGGAGACUUAGAGCUGAGCUUGACGAGAAAAGGAUUGAAGAGGAGAAGAUCCAGCUACUGUAUAUCGACCAGGCCUCAGUGACACAGCAGCUGCUGGAAACCUGCUCAGUGCACUGAAGUGAUCAGCGAGGAUAUACAGCGGUUGAGUCGGCUCUCCCGCCGCAGGGGUCACAGUAGGUAAGUUAUUUACUCACUGGCAGCAUGUAAGGAUUAAUUCCAGCCUUACAGGAAGAGGACACCAUCGGUUUCUGCCUUGGCCAAAUCAAUAGGCAACAUUCUUUCCAACAUAGCAGUCAAUACGCCACACUUAAGGUGUCUGAGGAAACUAAAGAACACCAAUAAUUGUUAUUAAUGCCUCGGAUGUCCCCAAGCAUUGCAUUUAGGGGCAGUCCCCAUCUAAGAGACAUUCAGCCAUCACAUACUGUACAUACCCCACAAAGGCCUCCCAGGCUCUAGUAAAGUGUCUGUGAAUACUCUGUGAAAAUGUUAAAGGUCCAGUGUGUAGGAUUUAGGGGCAUCUGUUCGCAGUAGUGGAGUAUAAUAUUCAUAACUGUGUUUUUAUUAGUUUAUAUUCACAUGAAAAUAAGAAUCAUUGUGUUUUUGUUAGCUUAGAAUGAGCUGUUUAUAUCAUCAUACGGACAGGACCUUGUCCAUAUUCACUGUUCACUGAGUCCAGUAUGUUGUUCUCCAGUAAUCCAGAACAGACAAAUCAAACAGUGGCUCUAGAUAGGGCCAUUUGUGUUUUUGUGUCAGCAACCGUAGUUCUUUUACACGCUUGGCACAUGGGAAAAGUUUAAUCUCUGCAACCUCACCACUACCUGACACUAAAUCCUACUAGAUCCUACUAGACCUUUAACACAAAGAAGUGGUAAUGAAUAUAAUAAAAUCAGUGUUGGCAUUCGGGGGUUUUUUUUAGUCACACUGUGGUAGGACCAAAGAAAAAUUUCAUAAACGUAUAUCAUGAAAUUGAAUAUGAGAUUAGUGGUGCCCAGAGGAUGAGGCCGACUGACCUUGGCGAUCCCCUGACUUUUGCUCUAGUGGCACCAUGAUGUUGGGUGUUACUGAAAUGUUUCAACAGCUACUAAAUAGAUAACCGUGACAUUUUGUACAGACGUUCAGAGGAUGAAUUGUAAUAACUUUGGUGACUUAAUUUAUCCAUCCCUUUGGUUUAUGACCAAAUACCUGCAAACCUAAUGAUGUUCCCAUCAGCCUCAACUGUACUUUGUGUUUAGUGCUAACUUAAAUGUUACUGUGCUAACAUGCCAAGCUAAGAUGAUAAAUACCUGCUAAAUCAGCAUGUUAGCAUUGUCAUUGUUAGCAUGCUAAUAUUAGCCUUUAUGUUAAAGCACCACUGUGCCAACCACCACCUUAUUGAGUGACUAGCAUGACUGUAGAUUAUUGAUAUUUAAAAAAGUGUUAAUAAAUGACAACUGGUAUUUAGACUUUGGAGCAGGUUGUUUUGGUUGUGACAUGUUAUGGGCAUUAAACUUGAUUUAAAGUGGCGGCACGUGUCUUUGUGUCCUUGACCAACUG